CUUAGAUUAUUCUUUUUUUUCUUUUUGGGUCCCAGAGGAGUACCAGAGUGAGUUGAUAACUCUUUUAUUGCUACCUGGAGAGAAGACUUUCCCACCUGGUGCAGCAUCCAAUGGCAGAUCAACGCUCCCAGAAUGUUUGAACCCUCAAGACUAAAUGAGAUAACAAAUGUAGACUACAUGCCCCAUCAUAGAAAAAAAUCAGUAUUUGCCCCUGAUUUGUUCCUGGAAUGCCCUGCAAGAGAAUGUUUUCAUUCCUUACUCUUCAAUGUGUGCCACAAGGGGAGACAGAAAUAUGGAAAUUUGACACAGAUAACAUGGAUCAAACUCCAGAGUUCUAAUUUACUCCUGCAGAUGCUUAAUGGACUAAGCCACCCAGAAACGAACCACAAGACAAAAGUGACUAUUUUUUUCUGCCACCCAUACCUGGA